AUUAAUUUAGGUGGGACUGCCACAUCAAUAAUAUUAGUUCCGGUAGGCAAUAAUAUCAGUUUCCAUAAGCAAUAAUAUUGCUCUACUUAGGCUUAACAAUACAAUUUCACAAGAAUUGUGUCUGCGGGUGUUUUAUAAACCGUAGCUUUAAUUUUGAUGUUUCUAUUUGGUAGCUUGCUGAGCCUCCUUUACCGUCAACACUAGGGAACACAUAUAUGUGAUCCUCAUGAUGGCGGUCCACCACCGGGGGAGAAUGCUGGUACAAUUGCACCCUUGAGGACAUAGCUGGGGAGGAAAAGAAGCGACUGCUCCCGGAAGACACCGGGACAAACAGUAGUGUGGUUUAGAAAAGCUCUAGCCGUUGAACCUAUCAAGGGCAAUCUACGGCUCAGUGGGUGCUCAGCUUGUGGUCAUGGUGGAGGUGUGUACAGCUCCCCCAUGUGUAUGUUGAAGUCCUCCAAAAGUGUGUUCAUAAGUUGGUUGAUGUACUUUUCUUUUCUACCUGCAAGUUUCUUCAACAGAUCAACACUAUAACAUGCUCUACAUCUGUAAGGCUGCUAACAUUUUUUUUUGUAUAUCCAGAGUUUAAUUAGAGUUUUCAAUUUUUGAUCCAUAGUGAAAUAAAGACUUUCCUUUUUUAUUACA